AGUGAACGCUGGCGGUAGGCCUAACACAUGCAAGUCGAACGGCAGCACAGUAAGAGCUUGCUCUUACGGGUGGCGAGUGGCGGACGGGUGAGGAAUACAUCGGAAUCUACUUUUUCGUGGGGGAUAACGUAGGGAAACUUACGCUAAUACCGCAUACGACCUACGGGUGAAAGCAGGGGAUCUUCGGACCUUGCGCGAUUGAAUGAGCCGAUGUCGGAUUAGCUAGUUGGCGGGGUAAAGGCCCACCAAGGCGACGAUCCGUAGCUGGACUGAGAGGAUGGUCAGCCACACUGGAGCUGGGACACGGUCCAGACUCCUACGGGAGGCAGCAGUGGGGAAUAGUGGACAAUGGGCGCAAGCCUGAUCCAGCCAUACCGCGUGGGUGGAGAAGGCCUUCGGGUUGUAAAGCCCUUUUGUUGGGAAAGAAAAGCAGCAGGUUAAGACCCCGCUGUUCUGACGGUACCCAAAGAAUAAGCACCGGCUAACUUCGUG
rnacentral:rRNA from 1 species